rnacentral:rRNA from 1 species
CAGUAGCCGCGGUAAUACGGAGGGGGCUAGCGUUGUUCGGAAUUACUGGGCGUAAAGCGCACGUAGGCGGCUUUGUAAGUUAGAGGUGAAAGCCCGGAGCUCAACUCCGGAAUUGCCUUUAAGACUGCAGAGCUAGCAGGUGAGAGAGGUGAAUGGAAUUCCGAGUGUAGAGGUGAAAUCCGUAGAUAUUCGGAAGAAUACCAGUGGCGAAGGCGGCUCACUGGCUCAUACUGGACGCUGAGGUGCGAAAGCGUGGGGAGCAAACAGGAUUAGAUACCCCCGUAGUCCCUGUCUCUUAUAA